rnacentral:ncRNA from 1 species
UAAAUAAAAAAAGGGAGCUUGUAGUACAGGCUGAGAGGAAAGUAUGACUUUCGACCUAUAACCUGAUUUGGAUAAUGCCAACGUAGGGAAAUACUUUGUCUUUUUUAG